GUCCCUGAAAGCAAUGACAGAGUGAAAAGAGAAAAAUGAGCGUAAGCUGCAGCUGUCUUCAACCCGGGGGCCGUCUCCUCAGCUGCUCACCAACACUGCUCCCCACGCCCACGGCAGAGGUCAGACUUCGCCCGGUGAAGAGGAGACCUCCCUCCACGACUCUCUAAGAACUCGGCCUGCUGUGGUGGCGGGCAGAGAAACACCUGGAUCGCUCACUUCUUUUUAGUGCUGAAGAAUACGCCAUCCUCUGGAGGUUCCACAGUUCAUUUUCCACUCACCGACUAGAUGAAACACUACAGAGAGCCGCACCAGGAUACCUGCAACCCCCAAUGCCUUUUUACAGGCACAGCAACAACGUGAUACUGUUUUCCUGCUUUCUGAGGGCCAACCCCUCAACCCUCCCCAUCGCCACCUCUCCACCCAGCUCCUGGGCUUUCUUCCCAUUCCAGCCCGAGACAGAAAGCUCAAAGGGUAGGAAGGCUGAGAUGAGAAUGGGGAAGAUGAGAAAUGGUGAUGGCACAAUACCACAUGAACUGCAGUGACAAAGUGACGUUUUGUUCUGGCAUUCUCUAUAUAUGUUCAAGAACAAAAUUCACCAGACUCUUUGUGAUUUAUCUUUUUUGUGUUCUUCCUUUUUUGGGUAAAUGUUACAUACAAAGUAUUUGAAAGUAAAAAAAAAAAAUUCUUUGAAAAAUGUUAAUGAAACACUUUACGUAAAGAUUUUGAAAAAAGAAAAACUUUGAGAUGAAACAAUCAAAAAAUAAGAUGGAAAAAAGUAAACAAACAGAAGAAGUGAAAAGGAGGAGGAAGGAAACACUUCAAGGAGAAAGGAUAAAAGGAAAGGACUGUAAAAAUAGUGGCAAAAAUUGGGAAAAAGAGGCAAAAGUAUUCUAGCACCUCACUGCCUUCAAAGAAAGCAUCCAAGGAAACAGUUUGCUCUCUUGUCCUCCUAUUGUAAACUUAAAAUUGGAAGUCUUUGUACAGUAUAGUCUAUAGAGCAACUUGGAACCUUUCCUUCCCUUUGCUAUAAAAAAAAAACAAAAAACAAAACAAAACAAAAAAACCUUCCUGGCAAAUCAUUCAAAGCAAAUCUUGCACUGAACAUAAUACAAAAUUCUUGAAGCCAUGCUUUAAAAAUAUAAACGCUGCUGGGUAAGAAAAUCUUCAAGGGCCCUCCUGUCCCCUUCAUUGCUUUCAAACACAAGGAAUAAAAGAAUCUCUAACAAUUGAGAAAUGCCCAUUUCUCUCUUCCUUUCCCUCAAAGCCCCAGCUUUCAUUUCCCAAGGAUAACCCUGUAUGCAAGGCUGGACAGGGUAUUUCCAAUUUCUUCCAGCAGAUGGAAUAUAGACAUAGGUCAUAAGAACCCACAUAACACCAAAAAGCAGCACGUCCUUACAUCAAUCCCCAUCCUUACGCAUCACCCUUCAGAAGCGCUCGUUAAUUAUUUACAUUAAGAAGGGAGUUAUUUGGUUGGGUGCAGGGUAUCUUGUGAAGAAAUUCUAAAAGAAAAUAAGAACCAUACAGCAACAGAUGGGGAAGGGAAUAGAAGAUUAUCAAAAUCUAGAAAAAAAAAACACUAAGAAAGAACUAGAAUUAUGCAAGUAGCUGUAACCAAGAGAAUGUGAAGGAAACUUUCCACGGACUAUUAUGCAAACCCACCAAGCGGAUACACUCAGACCACCUUUAGGGCGGAAAGUAGGCACACCCACUUGACGGACACUGGAGUCUCUCCAAAUGGCUUUCAAAACCACAGGGAUCUCCCAGUCAGCUCACGUCCCCGGGCCUCCCCUCCUCCCUCCCUCCUUCUAAUACUCUGACAAGUGUCAAGAGUGAUGUUUGAACUCAAGAGCCUUCUUCUACUCAGGAUGCAGAGCAAGGGUAAGAUUCACCACACUGGGGCUGGGGCACCCUCGUACAGAUGCGGCUGUUCUGUCUUACAGGUUGCCUUCGUGAGAGAACGAACCCCUUUCCCCCAGUACAGCAGAUGCUCGGGGGUUGCUGGGUGCUAUGGUUAGAAAGGCGGAACAAGGCAGCAGAGUGAGCCUCUUUGAUGAGGGGGCAGGGCGGGGAGAGAUGGUUCUGGAUGAGAUUUCUUUAAUUCCUGCUGAAACAGGUGUCCCUCGUGACCUAUGAAGGAAACUCAGCAGAGACCAUUUUUCCCUUCAACAUUUCUAGUUUGGAAAGGGAUGUUGAGUUCACUGUGCUGUCUUCAGACAAGAGACAUCCGGAAAGUGCCUUGCAAGUGGGAGAAUGACCUCACGCAGCAGAAGCAGCAAGGGAAGAUACGGCUGCUUUGACAAAUCCAAGUAGAGAUUUGACUAUCAAAAUCUGUAUGUGCCUCAAACAUACUCCUUAAGCCUGUUAUAUUUUGUAUUUUGUACGUUGUGUUACACAUCACAUAUGUGUUGGUAUGUUUUGUGUAUGUCCUGGUAUCUUCAGAAUUCCUAAACGUCACGUGUUUUAAAAACAUAAUUAGAAAUAAACCUGUUAUAUGCUAUCAAACUAGUCCUGGAGAGUAAACGCUCUUUAUGCUUCACCAAGUCUAGAGAAGUAGAGAGCUGCAGACAGCAAUUCCAGAGAAAAGAACAAUAAAACUGUUGACAAGUGCUUGUUAGAGUGAUAUUCAGGCCAACACGGGAGGGUCCUGGUCGGACCGGUGGCUUCUCUUGUACUCCAGACGUAAUGCAUCUCGGCUGUCGAUCGCUGAGGACAUGACUCUAACGGCGGGUGACGGCUGUCCUAUACGAGCUCAGGGAACCAAGCUGACGCAGAAUUCCUAGCAAUACACAGUUCACCCACCGAAGUGAAAAUACGAAGACAAGGAAGGAUUUCGGUAAAAUUUCGUGCGAAGCAGAAAACACAGGACUGAGGGCCACUCCCAAAGACCACUGAAGAGUCACUACACUCGGGUCCUGGAAGAAACCCCAAACCAUUCUGAGGGCCUCCAGGGUCCACCCACUUUUCCUGACUGGGCUCCCCCAUCUUCCCAGGAAAACGAUGGUGCUAGACGGGGAUUGCCUCUCCUGGGCCACACGUCUGUCCGACUAGGGACUAUAGCCUCAAACCUGCUGCUCAUUCAAUUCUCAUCAGAGGCCCGACUCUAAGGAAGUUUCCAAGGACGAUGCACCUGAAGGACAGACAGACAGGGACGUGCAACACGCCAGGUAAUUCAAACUUACUCCCGAGUGAAUCCAGACCAUCAAAAGCUACAUAUUCACCAAACUUUGCUUUGAGUGUCAUGCUGUGUAACUAUGUCGCUGUUGGCACGGAACGAAGUGAGCGAGAGAUGGUGGGAAGAAACUUCCUACUGGAGUGACAUAGAAAUUAUAACUUGAAAGGCCUAGAGUGCGGCCGGACAUCUGGAUUUUCCAUAAAUUUUCCGCAGACGUGCACUAAAGGUUAAAACGCACUGCCCCAUUUUACAGACGGUGGAGACGAUGUUCAGACUACUGUCAUGUUGACGUACGGGUCUCCUCUUAAACAAGAUCUGCGGGGAGAAAUUUCCCUUAGGUCUCGGUUCAGAGCCACCCCGAUUCUACCAAUACCGUGAAACUCGUAACUGGCGGUGCCUCGAGGCAAAUCUGCAGCUCCCUCCUAAACACCGGGCAGAACCCGAAGGCCCGAGGGAGGCAUUGUGGGUGUGGUGGAAAGAACUCGGGCUUUCGAAGCAGAGACGGGGUUUAAAUCCCAGCUCUCGUCCGGCUGCGCAACCUGUUUCUCAUCCAAGAGGCUGGGGAUGACGGUCCGGGCCUCACGAAGUUGCGGAGGACCACGGAGGUGCGGGGGUCCAGUGGCCGGGCCGCCAAGCCCGCGGCCGGCAGUCCCGGCACGUCCGAGCCCGGCAGCGGAGCCACAUGACACAGUGUUUUCCGACUGCGCGUUCCUGCGUGCUAGCUCCCACUCUGCCCCGCCGGGACUCCCUGGCCGGUUUGGCCCGUUCUGGGGCUGGAUGCCCGCCGGCCGGGCUGCGCACACGCGCGCGCGCGCGCGCACACACACACACACAUAC